rnacentral:rRNA from 1 species
GAUGAACGCUAGCGGCAGGCUUAACACAUGCAAGUCGAGGGGUAGAAGGAGCUUGCUCCUUUGAGACCGGCGCACGGGUGCGUAACGCGUAUGCAAUCUACCUUGUACAGGGGGAUAGCCCAGAGAAAUUUGGAUUAAUACCCCAUAGUGUAAUGAAAUGGCAUCAUUUUAUUACUAAAGUUCCAACGGUACAAGAUGAGCAUGCGUCCCAUUAGCUAGUUGGUGUGGUAACGGGAUACCAAGGCAACGAUGGGUAGGGGUCCUGAGAGGGAGAUCCCCCACACGGUUACUGAGACACGGACCAGACUCCUACGGGAGGCAGCAGUGAGGAAUAUUGGUCAAUGGGCGCAAGCCUGAACCAGCCAUGCCGCGUGCAGGAUGACGGUCCUAUGGAUUGUAAACUGCUUUUGUACAGGAAGAAACACUCCCUCGUGAGGGAGCUUGACGGUACUGUAAGAAUAAGGAUCGGCUAACUCCGUGCCAGCCGCCGCAGUAAAAC